rnacentral:lncRNA from 1 species
UUCAAGUUGACGUUAUUUUCCUAUAUAAAAGCAUUUUUCCAUUCCAUCCAUAUGCUUUGAGUCUGGAUCACGAUACUCACCACAUUUAGAACCAAGAUAAAUGCAGGAUAUCCCUAGGCAAGCUUUACAAAGCCUCUGAGACAGUAAGGCAAAAGGCACUCCGAAGACAUGGCUAUCUUCCUGGGGUUUAAACAACUUUCAAUGUAAAUGGGCAUGAUGGGGCAAAAUGAACAGUGUGUUAACACUAGAAGGACAUGGCAUUGUCCUUCCAGGAUGAGGCCCAUUAAAGUCAUUUUUUAAAAGCACGGACCAGUCAUACUGAAAUGAAAACAAGUUAGCAAGUUGUUAUGCGGGCUUUGCUGCAAGUUGUGAUUUGGGCAUAAUCAGAAAUUCUAAUCAUAAGAGGCUGCAGGAGCAUCAUAAUUGCAGAAGAGGGAGGGCCACUGGGUGUCAGACUUUCAGGGGUGAGCUGGAGAUUUAUUGCCUCCGUGGUGAGGCAGGUGAAUGAUGGAUAGGGUGGCUGUCGCUCCAGUGAAUUUAGUGAGGAAGUGAAAAGCAGCCUCGGGAGUGGGGGUGCGAGAAAGAGCUGGGAUUUAUGAACUGAAAUAUGUAUUAUAAUGGGGCGGAUUUCAGGACUCCGAGCCUUACUUCAGCCAUAGCUACAGCAUUAUGGAUGAGCCUCAGAUGGGGCUGGAAUGAAACCUUUCAGACCAACUGAAUGCCCGGCAUCAACCACGCAGAAGGGAUCUGCACGCAUUCCACACCCGUGAAGUCCUGGAGAAGAGCAGAAAGCCUCAAGGGGAAGACGAAGAAUAAGGAGCCUCCUGGUUUCACUGCUGCCUUUCCUUUUUCUGGUUAUUUCAAAACUACAGGUUUGUAAGGUGAGCAAGCUGGAUUAGCAACGGUGAACUUCAAGGUCCUUCUUGUUCUAGGAUUCCAUGAAAUAAGAAAGGGA